AAACCACAAAUCUUUAGUUUACUAAAUUUAAAGUUGCAAAACUAACUUUUUUUAAAGUUGCAAAACUAACUUUACUUUUAAAGUUAGUUUUGCAACUUUACAAGGGGUAGUAAUUGUUUUAAGGAAUUUUGUAAUGAAUCUUUUGUGUGGAUUUCACCAAUCUUACCUGUUUUUCCAUCAUUGAGUCCUACUCCAAGUAGUUUUUUUACUACUGUUUGAAGAAGUUUAGAUAAUUUAUCACUUGAGCACAUAAGUAAUUUAUCACAACUAAAUAAUGAGCCUUUUUUUCUGAACAAUCAAGAGGACAAAUGAGCCCUAGAAAAAAAUGGUUUGAAUACCAGAUUGUCUUAUUUAACUUCUCGGCUUGCUGUCACAUCCAGCAUGCAUUGAAAAAAAUUAGCUACUGUGAGGGCAAAAUUGAAAAGCAUGCUAUAUAAGUUGAAAGUUCUGAGACAAAGCAUUACACGAAAGAAAGAAAUUAUUAAAGUUUUGAGAGCUGAAAUUAAAAAUCUUAAACAAAAGUUGCAAACAUUUUAUUACAAUAGGAUAAUAGGCAAUCCUUAAGUUUAAAAAAAAGGCAAUAAAGUUUAAGAACUUAAAAAGCUAAAACAAGUUAAAGUUGGACAUAAUAAAGAUUUUAAUGCAAAUAAAAUGCUGAUAGCUAGUUACAAAAACAAUAUAAUCCAGAUGGAGGAGGAUAACAUUACCAUCGUGAAUAGCUCAGAAAUGAUAAGACUUAUACAUUACAAAUGUAUUAGUGAUAAUUUUGGCAUGUUAUUGGAAAAUGUACCAACAUGUAACAAACCAUUUCUAAUGGAGAAAAUUAUGCCGUAUUUAAGUGUCAUUUUUAAUGAUGUUCCCCAUGAUUGUAUGAUUAAACAAAUGGCUCGUGAGCUUGGCAGUAUAGCAGAUUUGCAAGCAUCAGAAUGGGCUAUCAUUGAUUCACGUAUUACUCUUGUAUUUGAUGCAAAAAUCCAAGAAGGUGUACAUAUUAAUAACAUUCACUUAACAUAACAAAGAAUAAAUGCCAAGUCAUUGCUCUGGAUCAAUUAGCUGGAGGUACAGCUGAUACUUACAAAAAUUAUAUAUGUAAAGCAAUUGAUCAUCUAGCUUUUAUUUAUUCAGAUUUCCACUUCGCUUCUUGUAAUGAUAGCCGUCGAUGGAUCAUCUCAAACAUAUCAAAUGCAAUGUCAGACAGAAUUGCAGUUUACCAUCUUAUUAUAAGCAAACUGUGUGACACUUGGGGGAAAAGUCUGAGCUGCCAUUUACACACUCUUGAUACAAUUGCUACUUCAUGUUUGGCUAUAAUUGUAUGGCAUUUUAAAUUUUUGGCUAUGAACAAGUUGAGUUUUGAACAUGGCAAAUGUGAUCCAAAAGAAUUUAUUAGUUUUUAGAUGAUCAAAUACUACCAUGAUGUAUCAUUUCAAGGUAUCGAGGAAAUUGUCUUCAUAUUCUUUUUCAUUUUUGUUUUAUUUUUAUAAAACAUAAUGAGUUUAAGCAUUUUUUAAUAAUUGGAAUAGUAAAAUGCGGAAUUCUACAUACAGUUCUUAGAGCAGCAUAACGAAACAGUUUAAAAAAAAAAAGUGUGUGCUUGCAUUAUUUGGAAAACCAUCUCCUUAAUAAUCACAUAAAACUUUGUCAUCCAGGAUCCAGCCUAGAUGACAAGGUUUUAUGUGACUGUUGAGGAAGCAAAUUUCGACCAUUUAAGUGAAAUCCAGGUGUUUAUACUAAACACCUGGAUUUAUUUUAAAAUAUAAUAAAAUUUAGAAUCGGCAUUUUUUAGCAAAAUGUUUUGCUAAAAAAUGCAGAUUCUAAAUCAAAUCCUGGUUCAAUUUUUAAAAUGAUCUUGAACCAAAUAUUUUAGAUCCAAUAAAAAAAUUUUGCUUGAUUGAUGAAAACUUUAUCAAGAUGACUUCUGCUUGUCUUAUUGUAGUGGGAGAUGUCAUAAGUCAUUAAUAUAAGAGAUAAAUUUUCCUAUCUAUAAUCCAGACUCUCAAGGAGGAGAUAGCAAGUGCAAGGCUUCACAAUAUAGAUAGUGAAGAGUUAAUAGAAAUGUUUAGUAUAAAAAAUGCAGAUUCUAAAUCAAAUCCUGGUUCAAUUUUUAAAAUGAUCUUGAACCAAAUAUUUUAGAUUCAAUAAAAAAUUUUUGCUUGAUUGAUGAACACUUUAUCAAGAUGACUACUGCUUUUCUUAUUGUAGUGGGAGAUGUCAUAAGUCAUUAAUAUAAGAGAUAAAUUUCCCUAUCUAUAAUCCAGACUCUCAAGGAGGAGAUAGCAAGUGCAAGGCUUCACAAUAUAAAUAGUGAAGAGUUAAUAAAAAUGUUUAGUGAGGCUAAAGAAAGAUCGCCUAAUGCAACAAUUUGUUAUAUUUCAUACAAAUUAGGAUCAAAAAAGAAUCAAACUUUUAAUUACCUAGAUAGUUUAGAUCAAUUAUCUAGAGAAAAUGUAGUUAUGUGUAAAAUGUGGUGUAAAAUGUAGGUAAGUGUAAAAUAAAGUUAGGUGUAAAAUAGUGUAAGAUGUAGUUAGGUGUUAAAUGUGGUGUAUUCAGACAGGCCAUAAAAAGAGGAUGAUAAAUCAAAUAAAGCAUAAUGAUAAACUAGUAGAUAUUUCAAAAAAACAUGCAUGCAAAUGCCAAAAAUAGAAUGAGAAAGACAAAAAAAAGUUAAAAUGACAUUCGCAUGAACUCUCUUACAAUGAAAUAAAGAGUUUAUAUACAUUUUCUACCAAACUACUUGAUGACUAAGGUGAUGUUAUGUCAGAUAGAAUUGUUGGGCAAAAACUCUGCCAUGAAUGGUAUGAUAGUGAGUAUUUGAAGUAUGUCAUGUAUGAUGGUAGAGAAGAAAAACUUAAAAAAAACAAAACAAGGCAAAGUUUGCACUAUUUCUUACUGGAAUAAAGAUAAUACUGAUACUUAAGUUGUUGACUACAACAUGAAAAAGUUACAGCUUGCUGCUGAUGUUGGACCAGGAGAGUUGAUCUUUUUUUGAAGUGUAAUAUGUAACAAAUUAUGAUAAUAUUACUUGUAAUGAUACUUUCAAAAUAGAUACCGCAAGUGAUGAAACUUGUAAAACAAAUACCGCAUGUGAUGAAACUUAUAUAAAAGUUUAUCGCAAGUUAUAAAACUUGAAAAGAUAGUCAUAUCAAGUCCGGUAUGCCAGGUAUUAAACCAUUUGUUUUUGUUUCAUAAGUUUUAGAGUAGAAUAAAAGUAUUUAACUUGGACCACAAGUGACAAGUGACAAGACCACAAGUGUUAUGACUUGCAAAAUGUUUUGAAAGGCGGCUUAUCUUAUCAUAAGACUAAUAUUUUGGAAAUGAAAUAUACUUAUUUAUUUUGUUUGUUAAAGAUACAAUUAUUUUUAAGAAUUCAACAUCUUUUUAUUUUAGGAUGUAGGUAAUCAUCACCACCCUAUUCAACAAACUUCUCAACUUAACCAAAAUUUACAAAAGGACUUUUUUUUUCAAAAGUAGGAUUGGUUGUGGUCUUCAACUUUACCUUCUAGGUUAUACCUAGUGUCAAAAGCCUAAUUCAGAUUGAGUCAAAAGAAAAGUUAUGAGAUGGCCAAAGAAAGCAGCUGAAGUAAAAGUAAAGUGAGCAGGUCAACUCUCACGUGCUGGUGGAAAAUUACCAAAACAAAUGUUAAGGACUUAAUUCAUAAUGGCAAACAAAGAAUACACGAAUUAUUUAAGAUAUGGUUGAAAUUUGGAAAGAAAGUAAAAAUCAAACUAGUUUUGCUCUAAAUUAUUGUAUAUAAUUUUAAAAUUUUGAAACAGAAGUAUUGCAAGUUUUUUGUUUUUUUUUAGUUUAUUCAUUUACUAAUAUAAUUAUCGUAUAUGCCCUUAAUAAAUGAAAGGAAAAAAGAACUUCACAGGUAGUGUUAUACAGUGUAAAAUUGUGCUUUAUUUAUCUUUACAGCGUAGGAAUAACAUCGUGAAAAUGUUAGAAGAACGUUGGGGGACGUUUUUACGAUGUUUGCCCAACGUCGUCAAAAUAACAUUGCAAUCAUUUUUUGUUUUGUUUGAAGCUUUAACCAACUGAGCUAUCUAGCCACAAUAACGUUAUCAAAAUGACGUUUUUCCGCUGUUUCAUUUAUAACAUCAUACCAACGCCUUUCCAACGAUACGAAAUAUGUUGGAACAACGUUGCUCAUAAUAUUUCUUAUUGGGUGUAUACAAGGCUCCUGUUUCAUUCACAGACGCACUGAUAAACAAUAGAAUGUUUACAAUACUUCUUUGUUCUAAAAGAUGUUAGAUUUAGUUUUCCAUCGUAUAUAUUUCUAGUAGAGUAGGAAUGUACUAGUCUACUCUCUGUAAACAAGAUUGUAAUGGAAAAUGGUAAAUUUUUAUUUAAGUAGUCAAAAGCAAAGAGAAGAUUAGCUUUACUAGCGCUGGAAAUGUUGAAACGUUAAGUUUUUUGAAGAACUAGUUAGAAAUAGUUACCAAAUUGACCCCAAACUUGACAGCAGUAGUUAAGAUAAGAUGAGAAUAAUGUAUAGUAAGCAAUCUUAAGUGUAACUUUAACAACAUAAUGACGAAUUAUUGUCGCCACAAAAGUGAAGCAAUCACUGUUCCGGGAGUAGGAUCAAUUGUCGCCAGAAGGCCUGCGGCCCAUCGCUGAAAAUUUCAAGACGCGUUUGGGCUUAUGUAUCGCCGCGGGAGUAGGCCACUUUGAAACCGGCUGAUUAUAUUAUUGCGGAAGGUCCAUAUUGUUGUUAUUCAUCGCUGUUUUACUUAGUUUUUGUUGGUUUAAUAAAAAAUGAUUAAAAA
rnacentral:lncRNA from 1 species